GAUGAACGCUGGCGGCGUGCCUAAUACAUGCAAGUCGAGCGAACGGACGAGAAGCUUGCUUCUCUGAUGUUAGCGGCGGACGGGUGAGUAACACGUGGAUAACCUACCUAUAAGACUGGGAUAACUUCGGGAAACCGGAGCUAAUACCGGAUAAUAUUUUGAACCGCAUGGUUCAAAAGUGAAAGACGGUCUUGCUGUCACUUAUAGAUGGAUCCGCGCUGCAUUAGCUAGUUGGUAAGGUAACGGCUUACCAAGGCAACGAUGCAUAGCCGACCUGAGAGGGUGAUCGGCCACACUGGAACUGAGACACGGUCCAGACUCCUACGGGAGGCAGCAGUAGGGAAUCUUCCGCAAUGGGCGAAAGCCUGACGGAGCAACGCCGCGUGAGUGAUGAAGGUCUUCGGAUCGUAAAACUCUGUUAUUAGGGAAGAACAUAUGUGUAAGUAACUGUGCACAUCUUGACGGUACCUAAUCAGAAAGCCACGGUAACUACGUGCCAGCAGCCGCGGUAAUACGUAGGUGGCAAGCGUUAUCCGGAAUUAUUGGGCGUAAAGCGCGCGUAGGCGGUUUUUAAGUCUGAUGUGAAAGCCCAGGUCAACCGUGGAGGGUCAUUGGAAACUGGAAAACUUGAGUGCCGAACGAGGACACAGUGGGAAUUCCAUGUGUAACGGUGAAAUGCGCAAGACUCUGGAGGAACACCCAGUGGCGAAGGCGACUUUCUGGUCUGUAACUGGACGGCUGAUG
rnacentral:rRNA from 1 species